GUGCCAGCAGCUGCGGUAAUACGUAGGGGGCAAGCGUUAUCCGGAUUCAUUGGGCGUAAAGCGCGCGUAGGCGGCCUAUUUGGUCGGGAGUUAAAACCGGGGGCUCAACCCCCGUCCGCUUCCGAUACCGGUAGGCUUGAGUCUGGUAGGGGAAGGUGGAAUUCCCAGUGUAGCGGUGGAAUGCGCAGAUAUUGGGAAGAACACCGGUGGCGAAGGCGACCUUCUGGGCCAUGACUGACGCUGAGGCGCGAAAGCUAGGGGAGCGAACAGGAUUAGAUACCCUGGUAGUCCUAGCCGUAAACGAUGGAACACUAGGUGUGGGAGGGUGUUCCGUUCCGUGCCGCAGCUAACGCAUUAGGUGUCCCGCUGGGAGUACGGCCGCAAGGCAAAACUCAAAGGAAUUGACGGGG
rnacentral:rRNA from 1 species